rnacentral:lncRNA from 13 species
UACUGACUGAACAACAAAGGGCCUUUCUCUGAGCUCUGUGGCUACUUUGGCUUUACUUAGGCAUUACAGCUAAUUUGGCCCUUUUUCCCAUCGCUGAGAAAUCUGCCCCACACUUACAAGGCUAUUGAUAGAUUUUAUUGAUCCCAAGCCUACUUCCUGUCUCCACCAGCUACUGUUUCUAAUGGUCAGGCUGUGGCUGAUGCAAGUGCACUCUCCCCCAGGUUGAAAUUAAUUGACCUGAUUUAAAAUUCUAACAGGUGGCUUUAAGCUGUUGCCUGAAAGAGGUGGGGGAGUGUCGGAGUGCCUGACCUGCCAGCCAGGUCUGGGGAGUAGGAACUCCCUCUGCCUGGCAUAGGUGGAGUUUGGCUACUCUCAGCCGGGAUACCUCGACACACUGUCUUGUUUAUGGCUCUCUUUUGGAAACCUGCCUGCUGACGGUAAUUUCUGGACAUGCUCUCAGACUAUGACACACCACUUUAAUUCUGUUGUUGUUGAGUUGAAAAUUGCCACUAUGAAAGAGUCGUGAGAGAUCUGGAUAUUUUGGAUCUUGCAAACUGUGAACUCAGCUGGUAAAUCUACAGCCUCCUGGGAAGAUGAAGUUCCAGUUCUGCACAUUUUGCUUGAAGUUUCAGGGAGUCUCUGGCAUGGAGAGGACAGUUUUCU